AUUUAAUCAAAAAAAAAAAUGGCUCAACACGAAGAAUAUGUAUCUAUAACAAUGAUGAGAGAAAUAAUGCACGUACAAAAAGAAACAAUUAUGGCUUUUUUUCGUGAAAUUGCUAACAGUUUAAAUAUAAAAAUUGACACGCUUUAAAAAGAUGUUUAUGAUGUAAAAAAGGGACUUUGUGAAAUUAAAGGAAGCAUGAACUUAAUUGGUGAUGAAUGGGAAGUCAAAGUAAAAGGUGAUGAUAAUAAAAUCGUAAAGGUAGUCGAAAAAAUAAUUAAUGUAAAAAAAUUACAAGGAAAACUCAUUUCAGAUAACACUGAACUCAAAUCAAAAAGCGUAGACAUUGAGGAUAGAAAUAGACGAAAUAACUUACGGAUUGAUGGACUCAUUGAAGGUGCAGAUGAAAAAGAUUGGGAAGACACUAAAAAUAAAGUCAAAAAACUCUUUGUUGAAAAUCUUGAAAUUGCAAAUGGUAUUAGGAUUGAACGUGCUCAACGAGUUGGUAAUGGUGAUUCUGAACGAGUGCGAACGAUUGUACUAAAGCUGCAUGACUUUGAAGAUAAAGCGAUAAUUAUGGAUAAAGCGAACAAACUAAAAGAUCCAUGUUAUUUUAAAGGCUGUUACCUUCAAAAUUACUGCAGUUUAGUGGCAGGGUACGCAGUUUGCUCAUGUCCAUCAGGGUACCAAUUACUAUCGGAUAACAUAACGUGUUUGUCAGGUAUUUUUUUUGUUGCAUGGUGAUAUUUUAAUGAUGAUUUUAACUUCACAUAAACAUUUAGGGAUGAGCAAAAAUUAAUAUAUGAUUAUAAUCAAAUCUUCAAUAUUUUUUUAAAGUAUAAAGUUGAAGAAGCAAAGAAAAUUUUUAUUGUAACAGUUCCUUUAAAAUUUUAUAUUUUUGUUACAUAAUGUAACCUAAACGAGAUUUGUAACACUAAACGUGUAAUGCCCGUUACUUUUAAUUACUUAA